UUUAUUGUGAGAUGGGGAGUCAUAAAAAUGAACAAAAAAAGAAACAAAAAAGAAUCACUAUAAAAAAAAAGAUGAGGGUGUUAAAAGAGGGAGGGGCAUAUAAAAUGGGUGUGGUCUUGACACUGACAUAAAGUAACAAAUUGGCACAAAUAAAAACAAGGAACAUACUUCAAUAUUAUUUUGGCUUGGCAACAAAAGGACAGUCUGUGGUUAAGGAUCAUCCUUCAAUACAACAGCACGCUCAUGCUAUUAGACAUACGAUUAGUUUUCAAAGUUCAGUAGCUUCAUAUUAGAGGGCAAAAGGAAAGGAAACGACAGAAGAAUGGAUGCACACAGGUCACUGGGUCCAAUGUUCAGGCGUUCAGGGUGGGAUUUGAGUUU